UUCACUAGAAGCAGAGUACUACUUUUCCACUUAUUUUUAGCCGACGUUUUUUAUGUGAAGCUUGACAGCAUUCCGCCUGAAAAGCUGAACAGAAUACUCAGCUUUACACAAAGAAAAUUUCGGUUACGGUGUUGGUAAAGAAAAUUUCGUUUAGAAUAUGUCAAUGCAUUUCUUAUGGUAACGAAAACUCAAAACAUGUGACAUACAUAAAAGCAAUUUUUACCCUAAUGGCCUGAAAAGAUUUAAUCAUAAUGUAAAAACAAUCAAUCCUAAUGUAGUAUGAAGCAUACAUUCAAUGAAUUUCUAUUGGCAUCGAAAAUUUCGCUAAAACUGCGUACAGGCCUUUUGGUGUUGCUCGCCCAGGUCCAAUUUCUAGCGGAUAUAUAAUAACAAACCAAGACGGCACUGAUAUGAAAAGUCCACUGUAGGAUUAUUUUGUAAAUAAAAUCAAAAACCUAAAAUUGUUUAUAAAAUUUGGUGUAGAAUAAGCUGGUAGUCAAGUAAAAUGCACUGUCAACAAAAUUCUGUACACCAUGCAUAUAUGUAUAAGCAAAAUUAUGCACGUUGAGUAUUUAAUACCACAAAUUGUCGAUAAAUUUGACUAUGAGAAAGAAUGUAAGGGUGUAUGUAAAUCAUUUCCUCUA